GUGCCUAACACAUGCAAGUCGAACGGGAAAACGGGAGCAAUCCUGUGAGUACAGUGGCGUACGGGUGAGUAACACGUGACUAACCUACCCUCGAGUGGGGGAUAACCCCGGGAAACCGGGGCUAAUACCGCAUAACAUCGAGAGAUCAAAGGAGCAAUCCGCUUGAGGAGGGGGUCGCGGCUGAUUAGCUAGUUGGUGAGGUAACAGCUCACCAAGGCGAUGAUCGGUAGCCGGCCUGAGAGGGCGCACGGCCACACUGGAACUGAAACACGGUCCAGACUCCUACGGGAGGCAGCAGUGGGGAAUAUUGGACAAUGGGCGAAAGCCUGAUCCAGCCAUGCCGCGUGAGUGAUGAAGGCCUUAGGGUUGUAAAGCUCUUUCGACGGGGACGAUAAUGACGGUACCCGUAGAAGAAGCCCCGGCUAACUUCGUGCCAGCAGCCGCGGUAAUACGAAGGGGGCUAGCGUUGUUCGGAAUUACUGGGCGUAAAGCGUAUGUAGGCGGGUCGUUAAGUCGGGGGUGAAAUCCCGAGGCUCAACCUCGGAACUGCCUUCGAUACUGGCGACCUUCGAGUCCGGGAGAGGUGAGUGGAACUCCGAGUGUAGAGGUGAAAUUCGUAGAUAUUCGGAAGAACACCAGUGGCGAAGGCGGCUCACUGGCCCGGUACUGACGCUGAAAUACGAAAGCGUGGGGAGCAAACAGGAUUAGAUACCCUGGUAGUCCACGCCGUGAACGAUGAAUGCUAGCCGUCGGUCAGCAUGCUGUUCGGUGGCGCAGCUAACGCAUUAAGCAUUCCGCCUGGGGAGUACGAUCGCAAGAUUAAAACUCAAAGGAAUUGACGGGGGCCCGCACAAGCGGUGGAGCAUGUGGUUUAAUUCGACGCAACGCGAAGAACCUUACCAUGGCUUAGACAUCCGGUGCGGCCUCUCAGAAGAGGGAGUUUCCCGUUCGGGACUGGACCGGUGACAGGUGCUGCAUGGCUGUCCGUCAGCUCGUGUCGUGAGAUGUUGGGUUAAGUCCCGCAACGAGCGCAACCCUUGUCCCUGUAGUUGCCAUCAUUCAGUUGGGAACUCUCAGGGAGACCUGCCAGGUGAUAAGCCUGAAGGAAGGUGGGGAUGACGUCAAGUCCUCAUGGCCUUUAUGUCCAGGGCUACACACGUGCUACAAUGGACGAUACAAACCGCAGCAAACCCGCGAGGGGGAGCCAAUCGGAAAAAACCGUUCUCAGUUCGGAUUGCAGGCUGCAACUCGCCUGCAUGAAGCUGGAAUCGCUAGUAAUGGCAGAUCAGCACGCUGCCGUGAAUACGUUCCCGGGCCUUGUACACACCGCCCGUCACAUCACGAAAGUGGAUUGUACUAGAAGUCUGCGCGCUGACCCGCAAGGGAGGCAGCGGCCCAAGGUAUGAUUCAUGAUUGGGGUG
rnacentral:rRNA from 1 species